rnacentral:rRNA from 1 species
GAUGAACGCUAGCUACAGGCUUAACACAUGCAAGUCGCGGGGCAGCAUGGGGGUUGCUUGCAAUCCCCGAUGGCGACCGGCGCACGGGUGAGUAACGCGUAUCCAACCUGCCCUUCACCACGGGCUAACCCGGCGAAAGUCGGACUAAUACCGUAUGUUGUCCAUUGACGGCAUCCGAUUUGGACGAAAGGCUUGGCGGUGAGGGAUGGGGAUGCGUCCGAUUAGCCAGACGGCGGGGUAACGGCCCACCGUGGCUACGAUCGGGAGGGGUUCUGUGAGGAAGGUCCCCCACACUGGAACUGAGACACGGUCCAGACUCCUACGGGAGGCAGCAGUGAGGAAUAUUGGUCAAUGGGCGUAAGCCUGAACCAGCCAAGUAGCGUGCAGGAUGACGGCCCUAUGGGUUGUAAACUGCUUUUAUGCGGGGAUAAAGUGGCCCACGUGUGGGCUUUUGCAGGUACCGCAUGAAUAAGGACCGGCUAAUUCCGUG